GUGCUCUCUGGCAGCACAACUAAAACUGGAAUGAUAUAGAGAAUAUUAGCAUGGUCCUUGACCAAGGAUGACUUGCAAAUUCAUGAAGGGUUCCAUAUUUUU